CAUGGUAAACACUAAACAACCGUUUGGCGUUUACUAACUCGACACGUUCACUUGUCCAAGAUUUAGAGAAGAUGUUUUAUGCAUCCACAUUCCACUCUCCAAAUUCCAGCCGAUUCGUGGACCGUGGCAUAGUAAUAUUAUCCGUCUGUCUUUGCACAUUUGUCUGUGAUUUACUCGAAAAGUCGUUUCGCUGCGUAGUUGCAUGUUGGUGAAUAAAAAACAUAAAUAAAAAAGUUACAUAAUCUAAGUGAUUUUAUACUUAUAUACUCGAACAACUGUUUUGGAUCUUCAGAUCUGAGUUCUGACCAACGUGGCCGUUUUUAAUUAUUUUAGUGAGGAAACAACCGAGAAUUGAAAAUGGACAAUUAUUUCCAGAGGACCAUGAUAAAAAUAGAGGAUGAAAAUAAACAGUCAAUAGAACAGCUUACCAAAGCCUCUGAGAAAACAACCGAUGGAGAUGCGUAUAAUGACAUCAGUACGUGCAGCAAAACCACAGUGAAAUUUGAAGUGGACAUUUUGGGUAGUAAUCGUUUUGAGUCUGUAAUUGAAGUUGAAGAAAAUGAUCUCUCUGGUACGCCAACAACAAAUCACGAUUUGGACGAAAUAUGUACAUUUGUCUGUGAUUUAUGUAACAAGUCAUUCGCUCACCAAAAAGAAAAUGACACGACACAUUACUCUGACGCACAGUGAACACUCAAAAAUCCGGAAUAGCAUUAGAAAACAAGUUGUCAAAAAUAAAUUCAGUGUCAAUGGUACAGGUAAUGGAGCGAAUAAAAAAAUCAAAGGUUCUUCUGCAAAAUCCAUCGUAACAAAACACCAACGCGUGCACACUAGUGAAAAGCAUUACAAAUGUGAUGUGUGCCUG